rnacentral:lncRNA from 1 species
AUGGUUCACCCUCAUGUCCUAAUUACCUCUCAAAGUCUCCACCUCCUAAUACCAUCACAUUGGGAGUUAGGAUUUCAACCUAUGAAUUUUGGGGGGGACACAAGCAUUCAGUCUAUCACACAAAUCCAAAACUUAGGAUUAGAGUACCAAAAUAGUUCUAUCUAUAUACACUACAUGAGAGAUCUCCUUAUAAGCCAAGCCUUGAGUUUUUGUAAGGGGUUUAGAAAUUGCUUAUAUAAUAAUUUAAAAGCCCUUAGACAUUCAUCGCCUUCCCUCUUUCCUCUGGGUUUUAUCUUCUCCUGCGUCUCAUAUCCGACCUUGUGCUCUCAAUUAUCCUGUCUUUGACCCCUCCCUUUCUACUGGCUUUUUCUCUUACUCUUCAAACAUGAUAAAAACAAAACAAAAACANNNNNNNNNNNNUAAGCAAGCCACAAAAAUAAAAAACCUUCCCUCAACUACUAAAUAUAUACAAUAUUAAAGUGUCUCUUUUUACUUCUCCAUCUGUCCCUUUUAGUUUCAGCUAAUGGUGUCAUUCACCUACUCUCCCAAACUAGAAGCCUCUUUAUCUCGUCCCCUUUUUCUAACUGGUCUUCAAGGUCAGAAAUUAGUAAAAAUUUUGAGUAAGCACUUCUCUUCAAUUCCUCAGUGAUUGUUUUAGUUCUGGGUCUACUGUCUUGCCUAAACUACCAUAGCUGACCUGUCUGUAGUCUUUUUCCAGCAAAUUAUAUUCCACAAAUUUUGAGCACCUAUUACGUGUCUGGCACUAGAAACACAAAGACAAAUAUGACACCAGUCCCUGUAGUCAAGAAGCUUGUCCACUCACACUGUAGCAUCACUCCUAUAUGAUUAAUAAAAAACUUCUGUUGCCAGCAGAAUUAAAUCCAAACUCCUUAGGCAAGCAUAUAGGGCCAUUUACCAUCUGCCCUGAACCCACUGAAUUUGCUGCCUUAUUUCUCACUACUCUCCUUUACCUACAGUCUCUCAUAAGCUCUAACCAUGCUGAACUUUGCACAGAUCCUUGAAAAUUCCACUGCUUUUUAUGUGCUAUCUUAUGCCUGGAAUAACCUCUUCUCCCUCUCACCAUUGGCCUGGGAGAAAUUAAUUCAGCCUUUGAAACUCAGCUUUGAUCCUUACCCCUUUUUGACACCUUCCCAGACUUCUCUACUUAUUUCUAUGGGUUGCUGUUCCCACAGUACUCUGUUUACAGCU